rnacentral:misc_RNA from 1 species
GAUGAAGAACGUAGCGAAAUGCGAUAAGUAGUGUGAAUUGCAGAAGUACCGUGAAUCAUCGAAUCUUUGAACGCAAAUUGCACUCUCUGGUAUUCCGGGGAGUAUGCCUGUUUGAGGGUCGCUUAACAAACCAUCGAUUUCGUUGCUUUUUUUUUUUUAAAAAGUGAUGUUUAUCGGAUUUGAGCCGUCUUUUUUUUUUUAUAUUUAAGUGGCUUAAAAUUGAUUUUUUUGGUACGAUCGAAGCGUAUUUUUAUGAUCAAUUUUUGGUUAAAGAAACGCACACGUACCGUUAUUUAUAUGAUGUAAUACGUUUGACUAUUGGAUUUAGUUCAUUCGUAUACGAUAUCUUUCAAUAUUUGACCUCAAAUCAGGUAAGAACACCCGCUGAACUUAAGCAUAUCAAUAAGCGGAGGA